rnacentral:rRNA from 1 species
UACGAAGGGGGCUAGCGUUGCUCGGAAUCACUGGGCGUAAAGCGCACGUAGGCGGCUUGUUAAGUCAGGGGUGAAAUCCUGGAGCUCAACUCCAGAACUGCCUUUGAUACUGGCAAGCUUGGAGUCCGGGAGAGGUGAGUGGAACUGCGAGUGUAGAGGUGAAAUUCGUAGAUAUUCGCAAGAACACCAGUGGCGAAGGCGGCUCACUGGCCCGGUACUGACGCUGAGACGCGAAAGCGUGGGGAGCGAACAGG